rnacentral:lncRNA from 1 species
ACAAGAGUAUAUGCAAGGAUAUAUGUUCUCAUAAAGGAACCAAACUCAUGGUUAAAUGGGUGAUAAUCAAGGUUUGGGUGAAUAUGGCAGAGUUGGCUGAUUUGGAACAGUUGGUGGACAUGGAGCAGUAAGCAAGGAUGAUGAAGAAGAAGUGAGCAAUUAAGAUAAGCUGGAUGAAUGAUAUUUUCAUAAUUUUAUAUUUUUAUUGCUAAUUGAAUUUUUAAUUUUAAUGUGUUAAUUUUUUUGAUUU